UUAAAUUGAAGAGUUUGAUCAUGGCUCAGAUUGAACGCUGGCGGCAGGCCUAACACAUGCAAGUCGAACGGUAACAGGAAGAAGCUUGCUUCUUUGCUGACGAGUGGCGGACGGGUGAGUAAUGUCUGGGAAACUGCCUGAUGGAGGGGGAUAACUACUGGAAACGGUAGCUAAUACCGCAUAACGUCGCAAGACCAAAGAGGGGGACCUUCGGGCCUCUUGCCAUCGGAUGUGCCCAGAUGGGAUUAGCUAGUAGGUGGGGUAAAGGCUCACCUAGGCGACGAUCCCUAGCUGGUCUGAGAGGAUGACCAGCCACACUGGAACUGAGACACGGUCCAGACUCCUACGGGAGGCAGCAGUGGGGAAUAUUGCACAAUGGG
rnacentral:rRNA from 1 species